rnacentral:rRNA from 1 species
AUGAUCCGCCGCCCUGCUGCUGUAGCAUCACUGGCACCCGUGCACCCACUCGAUGAUAAAUACCUCCUCGAGGAGAUCCUCCUCCGUCUACCUCCGCAACCCUCCUCUCUUCCACGUGCUUCCCUUGUUUGCACAUGUUGGCACAACAUUAUUUUAGAUCCUGACUUCCUCAAACGUUUCCGUAGACACCACCAAAAACCUCCUCUACUUGGCUUCUUUGCAGGGAAUACUAACUCAAGUGCGGUAUUUGUCCCUACUCUGGACUCUCCCGACUGUAUUCCUUUCACGCGCUUUCCGUUGCAGCGGAACCGCCGAUAUGAAGCGCUCAACGUUCAUGGCUGCCACCAUGGCCUUGCCAUUCUCCUCAACCUGAGUGACCGAGAGGCCAUCGUAUGGGAUCCUCUCACUGGCCAUGACUAUCAUGUGCCUUUUCCA